GGAUCUGAAAGUUCCUGGAGUUUUAGUAGUGCUGGAUGAAGUCCGGGAGUAAAUUGGGACAAUUUUAAACAAAAUGUGCUUUUGUUUUUAUUCUUCUGCAACCAAGCUUUGAGAAUUGGUAAGAUUUUUGUUUUUAAGUUUAAAAACUUGGACCAAUUUAAUGGUUUAAAAAGAAGUACUUUCUUCCAUGGUGUAUUUACUGCUGUUAAAAUAGACAUGAAGCAGGUUUCAAUGAAGGGAGUACUUCUGCUUUGGGAAAUUGAUGAUCCUGUAGACAAGGAUUUGUGGGCAGGCAGGACCAAGGAUGACCCAAGCCCGAGCUGUGGCACAAAACAAUGAAAACAGGAAGAAGGUUUCUCCAGAAAAAGUGAAGUUCCAAGUACUCAAGGAACAGAGUCAAGGGCCAGUGAAAAAACCAGUGAAGUCUGAAAGAGGAGAUGUUGUAGCUCAUGAAAAACUGGGAGUGAAGGGGAUGGCCUGUGGAACACCUGAAAUUAAGGGUGGGAGACUGGAACCAGUCUCAGAAUCAACCUGUGCAAGCCUUGGAAAGGUUGGAAACGAAGGAGUGUCGUGGAGUGGUGCCUUUGAUGAGGAGGCAUCUGCAAAGUCUUUUCAGGAAGCUUUGCUUCUGGGGUCCCAUCAGAACCUGUGGGGAUUUGUGAGGUGCAGACCAAUGUUACUGCUCUGAAGGAACCCAUCCAUGUGGAAUUCC
rnacentral:lncRNA from 1 species